rnacentral:sRNA from 1 species
UAGAGGCAUUUCCCCAGGAACUUCCGAGUACAGAUAUAUGAGGGUCAAAUUCCAGAUAUAUGAGGGUCUUGCUUUUCAAUCUGGCUAUGAGGCUAACCCCACUGGCAAAGUCCCUCAGAAUAGCCAAGCCAGGUGCCAAAUGGCUGUAAUCAGGCAUUUAAGAAACAGAGGCAGGAAGGUCAGGAGUUCAAGGCCAGUCUGGACUACAUGAGACCCUAUCUCAAAACCAACAGAACAAAAACGAAGUCCUUUGUAUCUCCACAUGGAGAGAUUGGAGGCAUGGUGUCUAUGGAAGUCAGCGUACUGGAGGGAUGAUAGAUGGAGACAGUUGAUGAUGUUCCCCUCCCCCACUGAUUUAGAAAAGGAGAAGACCAACUCUGUGGCAAGCUAUUUGAUCACAUUGUGAACCCUUAGAUUGUGAAUUGAAAAAAACUCGUUUCUUGUUGUGCAGCCCUAGCCCACACCCAAGAGCUUUAACCCAAGAGCUUUCUAUAAACAGGAGUUAAGUAAAGUCAACCAUAGGUCAAGAGCAGAGUAAGCAACAGGGACAGGGAGUGAACACAGCAAAACGCAGGAAAGAGAAAGGAGGGGCUCUGAGCUGAAGGGAACUUGAGACAGUGUGGAGAAGAGAGAGCCUUUUCCUUCUGGGAAGUCGGUGGAGUAGAAGGUGAGCUGGGUGCCUUCUCUGCCUCUCUGAGCCAGCAGACGUCCACCACAGCCUCUGGCACCUGUGUCUUCCCUUGACAGCGCUCUGUUUAGUUUUCCCUAAGAGAAGUCAUCUCUGCGCGCAGAAACCCUUACACUUUGGUGGACCAACUUCAGCUCUUACAGAAGAGUUCUACGAUGCCGGGCAGGUGGAACCACACCACUGGAUGCGGUGCUGGGAAUGGAACCGGGGUCUUCGUGUAUGUUAGCUCACACUCUGCAUCCUCGGGCUGCCCAAGCGGUUAAGAAGCCGGAAAGAAAGAGCCGCAUGAAGCUUCGCCCGGCGAACCCCUCCGGACCGCUAAUGAUGGGAUUAUGGAGUCUUAACUGCUGAAUGCUUAUCCCUAAUUCUAAUCAAAGAGCUGGGGGUCAAACACAAGGCCCUGUGCACGUGAGGCAAGCGCUCUGCACCUGAGUGCGACUUGCCUGCUCCGUGUCCCUCUUGUCUGUCUGUGAGCAGCAUGGCUGUGCCAUUUAUCGGCUUCAUGAUUUUUGGGAAAGACGUUUCCUUCUCCUGUUUCUCCGCUCAUGAAAUACCAUAGCACCUUCGUGUGCACAUCACCCGGCAUACAUACCAUAAGUGCCAAAUGAGAUGCAGAUGUCUAGAUCUGGAGAGAUGGCCCAGUGGUUAAGAGCACUGCCUGCCUUUCCAAAGGACCGGGGUUCAGUUCCCAGCCCCUACAAGGUGGUUCAUAAACACCUGUAACUCCGGUUCCAUGAGUUCUGAUGCCUUCUGCUGGCCUC